rnacentral:rRNA from 1 species
AACGAACGCUGGCGGCAGGCCUAACACAUGCAAGUCGAACGCACCGCAAGGUGAGUGGCGCACGGGUGAGUAACACGUGGGAAUGUAUCCUUUGGUUCGGAAUAACGUUUGGAAACGGACGCUAAUACCGGAUGAGCCCUUAGGGGGAAAGAUUUAUCGCCGAAGGAGCAGCCCGCGUCUGAUUAGGUAGUUGGUGGGGUAAAGGCCUACCAAGCCGACGAUCAGUAGCUGGUCUGAGAGGAUGAUCAGCCACACUGGGACUGAGACACGGCCCAGACUCCUACGGGAGGCAGCAGUGGGGAAUAUUGGACAAUGGGCACAAGCCUGAUCCAGCCAUGCCGCGUGAGUGAUGAAGGCCUUCGGGUUGUAAAGCUCUUUCGCACACGACGAUGAUGACGGUAGUGUGAGAAGAAGCCCCGGCUAACUUCGUGCCAGCCGCCGCCGUAAAAC